UACGGAGGGGGCAAGCGUUGUUCGGAAUUACUGGGCGUAAAGGGCGCGCAGGCGGCUGCUCAAGUCAGGCGUGAAAGGCCUGGGCUCAACCCGGGAAUUGCGCUUGAGACUGGGCUGGCUUGAGUGCGGGAGAGGAUGGUGGAAUUCCCGAGUGUAGAGGUGAAAUUCGUAGAUAGUUGGGAAGAACACCGGUGGCGAAGGCGGCCAUCUGGGACCGCAACUGACGCUGAGGCGCGAAAGCCGUGGGGGAGCAAACAGGG
rnacentral:rRNA from 1 species